rnacentral:rRNA from 1 species
GACGAACGCUGGCGGCGUGCUUAACACAUGCAAGUCGAACGAAGAGCGAUGGAAGCUUGCUUCUAUCAAUCUUAGUGGCGAACGGGUGAGUAACGCGUAAUCAACCUGCCCUUCAGAGGGGGACAACAGUUGGAAACGACUGCUAAUACCGCAUACGAUCUAACCUCGGCAUCGAGGAUGGAUGAAAGGUGGCCUCUAUUUAUAAGCUAUCACUGAAGGAGGGGAUUGCGUCUGAUUAGCUAGUUGGAGGGGUAACGGCCCACCAAGGCGAUGAUCAGUAGCCGGUCUGAGAGGAUGGACGGCCACAUUGGGACUGAGACACGGCCCAGACUCCUACGGGAGGCAGCAGUGGGGAAUCUUCCGCAAUGGACGAAAGUCUGACGGAGCAACGCCGCGUGAGGGAUGACGGCCUUCGGGUUGUAAAGCUCGGUUAAUCGGGACGAAAGGCCUUCUUGCGAAUAGUUAGAAGGAUUGACGGUACCGGAAUAGAAAGCCACGGCUAACUACGUG